rnacentral:lncRNA from 1 species
GGCGAUACAGAAAAUAUUUUUUCAGUUUUCUGUUUCAGUUUCAGCGAGUUUUCAGUUGAUAAUCCAAAGAUGUCUUUGAGACUAGAUCCUUUCGGGUCUAGAAACCCGGGUUCUGGCAGUUCCGGUGUUAUGAUUACCUCAAAACCUUUAAUGGGAGGUUCAAACUACCUAGCUUGGGCUUCGUCUGUCGAGUUGUGGUGUAAAGGUCAAGGUAU